CUCAAAUUUGAAAUCUGGCACCUUCGGUGUCCGAGUUGUAAUUUGAAGAAGGUAACUUUGGAGUUGGCUCUUGUCUAUGUUCCUUGGAACAGGACGUCACAGAGGGUGAGAAUCCCGUGCGAUGAGAUGUCCAACUCUAUGUAAAGUGCUUUCGAAGAGUCGAGUUGUUUGGGAAUGCAGCUCUAAGUGGGUGGUAAAUUCCAUCUAAAGCUAAAUAUUGGCGAGAGACCGAUAGCGAACAAGUACAGUGAUGGAAAGAUGAAAAGAACUUUGAAAAGAGAGUGAAAAAGUACGUGAAAUUGUUGAAAGGGAAGGGUUUGAGAUCAGACUUGGUAUUUUGUAUGUCUUGCUUUCGGGUGGGGCCUCUGCAGUUUACUGGGCCAGCAUCGGUUUGGACGGUAGGAUAAUGACAUUGGAAUGUGGCACUACUUCGGUGGUGUGUUAUAGACUUUGUUGAUACUGCCUGUCUAGACCGAGGACUGCGUCUUUGACUAGGAUGCUGGCAUAAUGAUCCUAAACC
rnacentral:rRNA from 2 species